rnacentral:rRNA from 1 species
UACGUAGGGGGCAAGCGUUGUCCGGAUUUAUUGGGCGUAAAGAGCGUGUAGGCGGCCUGGAAGGUCAGCUGUGAAAACUCGAGGCUCAACCUCGAGACGUCGGUUGAAACCACCUGGCUAGAGUCCGGAAGAGGAGAGUGGAAUUCCCGGUGUAGCGGUGAAAUGCGCAGAUAUCGGGAGGAACACCAAUGGCGAAGGCAGCUCGCUGGGACGGUACUGACGCUGAGACGCGAAAGCGUGGGGAGCAAACAGG